rnacentral:ncRNA from 1 species
UAUUAAGCGAUGAAUAGGAAAAGUAGAAUUAUUAAUAGAUAUUAAGAGAGGAAGUGGCUGGUGAAAACUUCUUGCUAUUGUAUUUUGAAGCUGCCUAGGAGCUAUAACUUACUAAGUGAUGUAUAUUUUAUACAUAAUUAGGGUGGUACCGCGGAAUUUUAGCUUUCGUCCCUUGU